AGCCCCGCCUUCAGAUCUCUAGCCCUGGGCGUGGUCUUGGGGCUGGACACAGGUGGGCUGUCCUUGGUGUGUAAAGAGGGCGCAGGACUGCGGGCCCCCUCAGCCUUGCCCUGGUGAGCUCUUCCUGCAGCUCAGAGCCCCUCCAGGCUCCCACCGUGCUGAGUGGAGGCCCAGUUUCAGCAGCCUGCCUCGGGCCGCGACCCCCGGUGCCCAGAAGGGCUGAACCUGGUGCACGGCGCCCCGACAGCAUCCCUGCCCCCGGGGUCCUGCCUGCCGCUUGCCGCUCAGGGCUCAGGCGCACGCUGAUGUCAGGGCAGGUAAGGCCGGACUCGCCUCUGCCCCACACCCUGCUGGGCACGGCCACCGCGCGGCUCCCGCACGCAAGCCCAGCUGUGACCCACGGGGCCAGGCACUGGCAACGCUGCGCCCCUGGAAAACUCGAGCUGUCCUGGACUGGAGGCUUUUCAGAAAUGUUUCUGGGACCAAGGGAUGAGGUGUGGGCACACGCUUCGCCCGUCCACAUCCAAAGCUGCUAAUGAUUCUGCGCGGAGAGAAAACCACCAAUGGUUCCAAGAAGGAACAAGGCUGGUGGAGGAUGAGGCCCCCUCGGGCUCCGCAUGGUGUCAGCUGGCCCUCACCUGCAGAGGGACGUAGUUGAUGUUGAUGAACUGCACUGGGGUCCAGACUCGCCAGUUCAUGCGCAGCGCCGGCCAGAAGCUUCUUCUUAUCUGGACAGAGAGAGCAGCUGCGUCUCUCCCCUGGAAAGGAGGGGAGUGUGGACAGUCAAGAAUCGCUGUGCCCCGCAAAGAGCUAUCGCAAGCACUAUGGCAGCGACCAACCUCCAGGAAGUUCAUGACGAGGAGGAACAACAACAGGAAGGCCGGUGCAAAGAGGAGGCGGUCCAGGAGGAGCCUCUUGACCCCAGCCCAGGGGACCUCAGAAGGGAUCCAGUGCUCCAUGAAGAGGUAGAAGAAGUGACUCAGUGGCCCUGUGAAGAAGAACCUGAGGCCCCGCAGCGGGGGUGAGCAGGACUGCCAUUUCCUGGAUGUGUCCUUCUUGGGUCCAGCUUCACCCCCCAACCCCAGGUCCUAAGCCCUGCUCCCUGGGCCCCCCAUCCCUGACCACACAGGUAUGUGUGGUCCUUCUAGAAAACAGGCUUUCUUUGAAUCUGCUUCAAGCAUUGUCUUUUGUCCCUGAUAGACCAGAUCCCCCCUCAAUCUUCAUGCGGCCAGCUCCUUCUCAACACUGUCAGCUUGGAGACCUCCUGAUUGUUCUGGACAACGCACCAGCUGCUGUCUCAGCCACUCUCAAGUCCAGGUCCUGUUCCACUGCCUUCAUAGCAUUUAUCACUACAUGUCCUCAUCUCAUUUGUUUAGUCACGUGGUGCCCUCUUCGCCCUGCUACAGGUACGCGUCACAAGACGGAUUGUGUCUGUCUCAUCACUGCUGUGUCCACAGCGCCUAGAACGUGGCCUGGCUCAGAGGAGGUGCUCAGUAGUAAGACAGCUGUGGUGGCUGCAACCAGCGGGCUUCCGAAGACGAAGGGAUAUUUGUGAGUUUUAGAUCAAAAACAAAACACGACUUCAAAAUAAUCCAUCUAUACAAACACUAUUGUUGGCCAGAGAACGUGAUGUGGAUUUAAUUGGGUAAAACUCCUGAAUCUCUGUGUUCUUUGCAGUUCCAAAAGUGAUUCUGAAACUGGACAUUUUUCAGGAUUCCUAAGUAUUUAUUUUCUGGCUGUUUAAGCUAUGAAAAUAACAGAAACAACUGCAAUAUUUGAGUAGUUUUCCUCUUUCACGGUCUUUGUGUCUUGAAGUCUAAUUUAGGUUCAGGUGAAUUAUCUGCCCUCAGAUCUCUCGGCCCAAUGAGGACAGCCACCCCCACUCAUGUGAUUCAAAAUGAAAACAUAAAACAAGUUAAUGCUAUCCAUCAUUCUGACUUUUUCCCCAUGAUUACUUCAACACUUUUUAAAAAUUAUUUCUCAAAAUUAGGUUAUUUCAGAGACUUGGUCUUGAUACCCUAGCUUUGUCAUGGUUAGUCUGCUGCUGGUUAGAUCAGCCCCUUUGUGAAACUCACCCAUAAAUGGCGUAUCUGAGAGGCCCACUGACAUCUAGCUUUCGGGAGUUUUCUUUUUUCCGCUGCUUCGCCAUCAUCUGGGCCAGGAAGUUCCCAAGUGCUGACAAAAUGCCACUGUGGACAGAGAUGUCAUCAGAAAACGGGGGCAACCAGCAAGAGGGGGGCCAUUCCUGCAUGUACUUAGCGUGGCUGUUCUGAGAUCAUGGUGGGGUGGGUAGAGAGGAGUCCUUUUUAAAGCAGGUUUUUAGUUUUAAUUUUUUAUUUUAGAGAGAGCGCAAGUGGUGGAGAGGGGCAAAGGGAGAGAGAGAGAAUCCCAAGCAGGCUCCACACUCUGCACGGAGCCUGGCACAGGGCUCAAUCCCACGACCCUUGGGAUCAUGACCCGAGCUGAAAUCAAGAAUCUGACGCUCGACUGAGCCACCCAGGCGCCC